rnacentral:misc_RNA from 1 species
AACGGUCUAUACCUGCGGUACCUGCGGAGGGAUCAUUAGUGAACGCCCUCGCGGGCUUAUAACUAUUCCAAACCUCUGUGAACCGUGCCCUUCGGGGCUAUUUUACAAACAUGGUGUAAUGAACGUCAUAUAUCAUAACAAAACAAAACUUUCAGCAACGGAUCUCU